rnacentral:lncRNA from 1 species
AGAAACAUAUUCACUUAAACAAAUCCACAAAGCACCGAAGAGAAUAACAUUACAGCAAGGAGAGGCAAGCUACAAGCGUGUGAAUUUCAAGUUCAUAAAUGUUCAGACCACUUACCUGUUUCUUGUUUGCCCAACGACUUCCAAGUCCCCACUCUUUCUCGUUUCCUUGCUCCAUCCCAUUUACUUUCCAGUUUAUACGAUCUUCGGUUUCAUAUUAUACACGAAAAUUCAAAUUAAAUUUUGUUGAAUGUUAAUUUUGAUCUAUACAUUGAGUUAUCAUUUAUACCCGUAACAAGUUAAAACUAAACUUUUGUAGGUUAACCAAAAAAAGAAGACUACACUUUGUAGAUAUCAUCAUGACAGGUAAAAUCUAGGAAGAUCUAGUAAGGAACCAUUCAGAACCAAACCGGUCAGAAACCGUGUCUCUCUCAUGAUGCACAUUCAUCAAGAAUCUGAAAAAAAAAAGAUAAAUAUCAAAAUUGAUUAAAUUGAGUCAGAAGAUAACCAACACAAGAUCAUGAUCGGCUAUAUUUCGUGCCACGAUCACUGAUAUUCUGUCCACAAGUUUCCUUCUUUUAGAUUUUAAUUAGUUGUCGACAAUACUUCGAAGUUGGUUCGAUGUUGCUGUCCGAAUGUAUUGGCCCCGUCCCUACGUUGCCUUUCGAACAGCUUAUGUAUGAUUAAUGCUUCAACGAAAAGACAAUGAGACAUAUCCAGCAAAUUAGGGUUGCUCUUGUUUGAGUGGUUUAAGCCCCACGAAUAUGUAAUUAGAACACAAAAUUAUAACCAGAAUCUCGUGAGAUUCGGAGUAAUCGUGAAUUUAAAACGAGUCAUGUCAAUAUUUCAAAUCACUCGACAUUUUGUGGGUUUUC